CGCAGGGAGCCAUCUGCGCAGGGGCGGAAGUCGGCGGGCCGCCGGGAACGGCGCGGCUCCGCCCCGUGGCUGCCGGGAGCCCGGCCCCGAGUCGGGUGUCCUGCGCUGACCCGAGCCGACUUUGCUCUGGCCAUUGGGUUGGUUGGAGCCGCCUCCCGGCGCGGACGGUGUCAAGAAUCCCAUUUGGGUGACUGGAACCCAGCUACUGGAGCUGCUGUCAUUUCAACAAUGGCCGAAAGCACCAAUCAGGGCGAGUCAGCCUCCCGGAGGGAGGAAUGUAGUCACCAGAAGUGAUGCAGACUCUACUCCGAAGUGUGUGUGGGUGCAUCAGAAGAAGUCCACAGGAAGCAGCUGGAACCUCAUUACUGUAGCAUGCAAUACAUGUGCACACGUUUCUAGAGUGCACCUGUACACACUUGUGGGGAUAAGCUCAUGCCCACCCCCAUGUAUAACGACAAGAACACAUCCUCCUGCAUAUUCAUUGUAAGAUAUAAACAAUCGAUUUUUCUUGCUCAGAGAGUCAUGGUUUUGGAACUAAUACCCUUGUGAUUUCCUUAAGUGCUGUAUAUAAAUUUGUUUUCUAUGACAAUCUUUUCUGUUCAGUUUCUUGACUAAACUCUCCAAAAACAGG